UCUGAAAACAUAAUAAAUAACUUAUAAGGUUUAAAAGCACCACAACCCAAGAGUUAAAACCUGUACUUGGAAUCAAAUCUUGUAUCAGUUUACCCAUGAGAGGGCAUCCUUAAAUGAAAGAAUCCAGUCUCUAGCUGGAACUUCAAGAAGCAACAAGACAUUGCUUAAAAUUCCCCUAUCUGUUAGAAGGCUAAAACAGUCACUCCUUUGGAGACCAACGCACCUGCAGUUGUUCUGUUUUCUUCUGCCACACCAGCCAUUGUGCAACAUCUGGAUAAGUAGCUACAACACAGCGUCUUUUCCUGUCUUGGGGCUCAGCCUCCCGUGGACCAAAGGGUCAAGUGUUUUGCUUAAUUCCAUGGCCUCCUCUGCUGUCUCUUCCAUCAGUGCUGUCAUUUCCCCAGUUGGAGAGAUGAUGACUAGUCUGGACAAUAGACAAUGUCUUGCUGUAUUGUCCAGGCUGGAGUACAGUGGUGCUAACAUGGCUCACUGCAGCCUCAACCUUCCAGGUUCAAGCAAUCUCCCACCUCAGCCUCCCGAGUAGCUGGGACUACAGGCAUGCACUACCACACCCAGG